rnacentral:rRNA from 1 species
UAAGACGGAGGAGGCUAGCGUUGUUCGGAAUUACUGGGCGUAAAGCGCACGCAGGCGGCGUGCCAAGUCGGAGGUGAAAUCCCGGGGCUCAACCCCGGAACGGCCUCCGAUACUGGCAUGCUGGAACGAGGGAGAGGAGAGCGGAAUUCCCAGUGUAGAGGUGAAAUUCGUAGAUAUUGGGAAGAACACCGGUGGCGAAGGCGGCUCUCUGGCCCUCUGUUGACGCUCAUGUGCGAAAGCGUGGGGAGCAAACAGG